rnacentral:rRNA from 1 species
CCUACGGGAGGCUGCAGUGGGGGAUAUUGCACAAUGGAGGAAACUCUGAUGCAGCGACGCCGCGUGGAGGAUGACGGUCUUCGGAUUGUAAACUUCUGUCUUUGGAGAAGAAAAUGACGGUACCUAACGAGUAAGCUCCGGCUAACUACGUGCCAGCAGCCGCGGUAAUACGUAGGGAGCGAGCGUUGUCCGGAAUUACUGGGGGAAAAGGGGGCGUAGGCGGGCGAGAAAGUUGAAGGUUAAAUCUACGGGCUAAACUGGGAACUGCAUUCUAAACUUUUUGUCUUGAGUGAAGGAGAGGCAGGCGGAAUUCCUGGUGUAGGGGUGAAAUGCGUAGAUAUUAGGAGGAACACUAGUGGCGAAGGCGACCUGCUGGGCUAUAACUGACGCUGAGGCGCGAAAGCGUGGGGAGCAAACAGGAUUAGAUACCCGAGUAGUC